CAGUAUUCAUUAUAACCCAGUGAGGUAUAUGUGUGAUGUCUUCUUGAAAUAAAUAUUCACGUUUCUGUAUUUCGCUAAUUUGUACUAAAUCCACCCGAAUCGUCGAUAAAUUUGAUUAGACGAAUAUGAACAUCACAGUCACGGUAUAGCAAGACGAUGAUCUCGUGUGAUUUUUAAAACAUAAUUACUGAUUUGUGAAGUUUUUGAUUUGUGAUGAUAAUCUGUGGGCAAUAAGAUAUUAUGUCAUGUUUGUUUGUGUAAUAUGAGUUGUUCUGAAGUGAUGUAUCAAGCUUAUUAUCCGUAUUUGUACCAACGGGCUGGAGCUGCGCCGCCGGUUUCAGCUCAUCCAGUGCCCAGGACUGGACCGUUCAGUUCUCCUUUCACAGCAACACAUCAAUACGAAAGAUUCAAUGUACAAAGAUUACAAGAAGCGCACUCUUUACCUCAGACAAGUGCUGCAAGUAGCGUUGGUGCUAGUAUCGGUGGAUUAUCAGAAGCACACCCCCUUGCGGGACAUAGUAUAUAUCUUCAAGGAUCAGCUCACAGCUCCGGGGGUUCAGUAAGUUCCACCGGCGGUGUAUCCCCAUCUAGUCCACUUCGAAUAGGAAAAGAAGAAGACUGUAGUCUUCACGGUAGGAGUAGUACAGAAGAUCAUCAUCAUGGUGACGAUGAGGAUUCUCAUGACGCGAGUGGGUCGCGGGCACAAUACGUUUCAGCCAAUUGUGUUGUUUUCACACAUUAUCAGGGUGACGCCGCUUCGGUGGUCGAUGAACAUUUUUCAAAAGCACUGGAUAAGACUGCGGCGCAUGCGAAAGAUUCGCCGAUGACAGCUCGAAAUUUUCCCCCUUCUUUCUGGAAUAGUCAGCAUUACAGCGGUGCUAGUAGCAGCAGUCAUCACAGUAAUACCACCGAUCUGUACCCAGAACACUACCACCAGGAUGCCUGGUAUCAAUACAGUCAGCAUCAUCGGGCAGUUCACGAUUAUCAUCACCACAAUAUGGCCGCUCAGUACGGUGGACUAUUGUUGCCAGGGUCUAGGUUACAUAUGGGAUCUCACGCCCCUUGUAAAGCGAUGGAUUGGCAACAUCCAUCGAUAGACUCACCUUAUUCUUCUUAUCCUACCAUGUCAGAAUUGACUUCGUUGGAGAUAAACAGGCGGUUUUAAUUUAAACUAAGGAACUGAAUUACAUGGUUUUCACCAAGAUGAGUUUUUACCACUGUCCACUACAAUUGUUUCGCUAUCACAAUAGCUUCUAGAGGCCUGGAAGCUCAAGUACAAGAUUCCUCAAAAGAAAUCUACUGGUUCUGAGAUAUAAGUGCAAACAAUGAAAUGAUGAAUUGCACUAGUGAUUACGAAGUGAAACAUGUGAAAAGUACAAACUCUUACCACUUAAUUAUUGAGGACGAAAAAACAAUUCGAGUGAGUUUGAUAUUUAGUGAACGUAUCUAAUGGAUUAAUGUUCCUGUUCUGAAAACAGAUAAUGUAAUAUAGUAACUAACGAUAAUCAUUGUUCGAAUAUUAAAUAUUGAUGAUAUG